rnacentral:tRNA from 1 species
AGAGGUGGAGUAUUUUUUCUGUACAUCUAAUUUACAAUUAGAAGGACCUCAAAGGCAUCUCUU